UCAAGGCCAUCCUACACUAUAAAAUGAAGAUAGUUAUUGAUUCCCUCCCGAACAUCCUUCCUUCCUCUAUGAUUCACAUAUACAAUAUUCGCUCGGGACCACAGAGUUCCUCCAGGAGUGCUAAUAACAAUAUGCCUGACCACAGUAACAAACACUCACGCGGGAGUGUUAUUAGACCUUGGGCACCGUUCUAAGUAUAUCUGACUUUCACAGAAGCACCCUGAGAUUCUACGCUCUCUGGGUGCUAAUUUGCCCUUGAGAUAUCCUACCAGGCUUACGCCAAGCUCAACGGACCGAAGCCUCCCUUGUCCCAAGUUGGACCUACCCGUGGCGGCACGUUUUGCUCGGAAGUUGAGGAAACGUGGAGCUAUUGCCAUCACUGGCAAAUCAGCUUUCGAUGAAAUAUUCAAGACAGCUAGAAGCUAAGCAGGAUAACUGAAUUCACAACCAUUUGCUACAGGACCAUAAUUUAAUGGCAGCAUUAUAAUUUGCUAAAUACCAUUACCAUGGCACCGGGUCCUAUUA